AUUGAACGCUGGCGGCAUGCCUUACACAUGCAAGUCGAACGGCAGCACGGGAGCAAUCCUGGUGGCGAGUGGCGAACGGGUGAGUAAAGUAUCGGAACGUGCCCAGUCGUGGGGGAUAACGUAGCGAAAGUUACGCUAAUACCGCAUACGAUCUAUGGAUGAAAGCGGGGGAUCGUAAGACAUCGCGCGAUGGGAGCGGCCGAUGUCAGAUUAGGUAGUUGGUGGGGUAAAGGCUCACCAAGCCGACGAUCUGUAGCUGGUCUGAGAGGACGACCAGCCACACUGGGACUGAGACACGGCCCAGACUCCUACGGGAGGCAGCAGUGGGGAAUUUUGGACAAUGGGCGAAAGCCUGAUCCAGCCAUGCCGCGUGCAGGAUGAAGGCCUUCGGGUUGUAAACUGCUUUUGUACGGAACGAAAAGGUUUGGCCUAAUAAGCUGAGCUCAUGACGGUACCGUAAGAAUAAGCACCGGCUAACUACGUGCCAGCAGCCGCAGUAA
rnacentral:rRNA from 1 species